rnacentral:lncRNA from 1 species
UUUUUUUUUCUUUUUUUUCCUUUUUACAGCCACAUAUAUGGCAUAUGGAAGUUCCUGGGCUAGGGAUGCAUCAGACCCGCAGCUGCAACCCUAUACCACAGCUACAGCAAUGCAGGAUCAGAGCCACAUUUGUUACCUAUGCUGCUUCUUGUGGCAACACUGGAUCCUUAACCCACUGAGUAAGGCCAGGGAUGGAACCUACAUCCUCGGGGACAGUAUGCUGGGUCCUUAAUCCACUGAGCCACAAUGGAAACUCUGCAUAUCAGUUUUCUUAGGUUCUCUUUUGAUGAGCAAACAUUUUAUAUUUUGAUGAUUUACAUACUAGUAAAUGUUUAUGAUUAUUACUUUCUGGGUCUUAUGUAAGAAAUUUAUGUGCAUAUUCCAAGGUGAUGAAGAUAUUUUUCCAUAUAUUCUUUUAGAAAAAUAUCUAUAUAAAACAUAUUUUUUCACUUUCACAUUUAGGAUUAUGAUGUGUCUUGAAUUAAUUUUAGUGUAUAGAAUGAAGUAAGGGUUAAAGUUUACUCCUAUAUCUUUGCCCCUAAAUAAGUAGCCAGUUGUUUCAGUUCCAUUUGUCAAAAACUCCUGCCUUUCCUCACUGGGUUACUUUAGUACCUUAGUUUAAAAUCAAUUGAUAAUAGAAAUGUGGAUCUACUUCUAGGCUCCUAAGUCUAUUAUAUGACUUGUUUAUCUUUAUGGCAGUAGUACAGUCUUCAUUACCAUGGAUCAAUAAUAUAUCUUAAAACAAAGAAGUAUAAGUUCUCCAAUUUUGUUCUUCCUUUUUAAGAUUGCAUUGUCAUGCUUUAGUCUUUUAAUUUCUAUAUAAAUUUUAGAAUUAGUAUGUAAACUUCUAACAAGAAAAUGCUCCUUUGGUACUAUGAAUGAGAUUAUGUUUAUUUUAUAGAUCAUUUGGGGAAAAAUGGCAUCUAUCCAAUAUUGAGUGUUUUUACCCAUAAACAUAUUGAAUUUUCUGCUUAAGGUAUGCAAUGAUUUCUAUCAGAGAUAUUCAUUGAUUUCAAUAUAGUUAUCUUGCACAAAUUUCAUGAGAUUCAUUUUUUUUACGUAUUUUAUUUUUCAUGCGUUUGUAAAUGGUAUUUUUUCAUGUUCCAGUUUUUCAUUGCUUUUAUAUAUUAUUGUAGUAAAUUUGUGUCAAUCACCUUGGAGCCUAUAACCUUGCUAAAUGAACAUAUUAAUUCUUUGAUUGUUGUGUUUUACCAUGAGAUCUUUUUUUUAAUAUAUAUGAUCACUUUGAAUAAAAUGUUUAAGCUUUUUCUCCCAUUAUUUAUACAUUUUAAUUUAUUUUUCUUGCAUUAUUGCACUGUAUAAGGACACUAGCAAAUUGUAUACAAAAAUGAUAUAAAAAAUCUUUGUUCAUUGUCUAAUGUGAAAAGAAUUUAAUGUUAUACCAUUACGUAUGAUGCUAGUUGUAAGUUUUUUAUAGAUCCUCUUUUUUUUUCAGCUUGAGGACAUCUCUUUCUAAAUAAGCAAAAGAUUUAUAAUAAAAGGGCAUUAAAAUUGGUAAAUGAUUUUCUGCAUCUAUUGAGACGAUUGUAAUAUUUUCUUAUUUUAUGUUGUUCUGAUGUUAUUUGUAUGUUAACCAACAUCUCAUUCUUUGAAUAACUGCCAGUUCAUAAUAUAUUUUUAUUAUUUGUGUGUCCUCAUAUUUCUGGAAUCUAUUUGCUAGAAUUUUGUUAAAGGCUUUGGCAUCUCUGUUCACAAAGGAUAUUGAUCUCUACUUUAUUUGGUGUUUUCUUUUCUGGUUUUGCUAACUUAUAUACUAUAACAUAGUGUAAUGAUAAAAUUAAUUAAGAUGUAUAAAGGUAAUUAAUUAAUAGAAUUAAGAUGUAUUCCAGAUUCUUCCAUUUAUGACAGAGUUUGUAUAGAAUUGUUAUUAUUUUUCCCUUAUAUAUUUGAUGAAAUUAGUCCAGGAGUCAUCUGAAUAUGAAAACGUUCCUAAUGAGGAGAUUUAUAAUUAUCAGAACUAUUUCUUCUUUUUGGUUUCCAUUUUUCUAUUAAGAUUUCUAAUUUGUAUCCCCGUUACAUUUACACUUUCUUUUAAAUCCUUGAACAUAUUGGUAAUAGCUAUUUAAUUCCUCAUUGCUAAUCGCAUCACUUCUAUCAUUUCUGGGUCUGUUUUUAUUGCCUGAUUUUUAUUCUGGUUAUGUAUCUCAUUUUUCUUGUUAUUUUUGACUGAAAGUUACCUUGUUGAUUGCCAGGCUUUUAUUGUAUUCCUUAAUGGAGGAAUUUUGUUCUAACAGACUGUUAAUUUACUUGAGGCUAAGCUUGAUACUUCUAAGAUUCAUUUUCAGAUUCCUUAGAAUGGGUAUAGCACCUCUUUUACUCCAAUGAUAAAUUAGUGCUACUAUAAAGAUACAUCUUUUGGGGGUUGCUACUGACUGUCUAGGGUGUCCAGUGAGCUUUCUCCAAUUAGUUGCUUAGAAGAUGAUGGUUUCCCAGGUUUGUGCAACCUCUGGCAAUUGCUCAGCUCCCAGCUCCCUGGUAAUUGUGCCCUUUCUACAUAAUUGUCCUUUCACUUGUUCUUUCCCCAGUCACACACAAUAUCUUGCUGAACAUGUGUGUCUUUGUAUUCAGCCAAAUACUCAAAGGAAUCCCUAUGUGGACUUUAGAAUCUUCUUUCCUAAACAGGUCACUUCUCUCUGGUACCCUGUUCUGCAAAUUUUAGUUGAUCCUCUAUCUUCAGCUUAGAAAGACCACUAUUCCACGGGUAUGGCCCCCCAAAAGCAAAAAGAGACCAUGGUGCUUAAUUUUAACUACACUACCCCUUUUCCUUUCCAUAAGCUGGAAAGUGAUACCUGGCAUAAAGCCAAGGCAAUUGUGGGGUUCAUCUCUAUUCUUCAUCUUUUCUCAGAUAUCACAUUCGUGUGCUGUCAUAUGUCUAACAUCUAUAAUGUUACUUCUUUUUUUGUUGUUCAAUUUUAUACUUUUAUUUUUUUUUUAAAGCAAGAGGGCUGAUAUAGUAUCAAUUAUUUUCCCAUGGCCAGAAGUGGAAGUUUAUCCCUGUAGUUGCUUUUAAAUAAAAAUAACCAUAUUUUGAUUCUCCAAAUGUUAUAUACACUGUGUUUAUUUGCAACUUUUCACUUGAGUGUGUGUGAAACUGUGUAAAUAUAGAGAAUGCAUACUUGUGAUUUAGAAUAUUUAUAAACUUCUAUUAAAAACAAAGAAAACAUGCUACUCCCCUAAUACUGAGUAAACACUAUUCCUUUUUUAAGUUCAGGUAACAAUGAGUUUUUUUUUUUUCUUUAUAUCAAUCUUUGGUCAAUGUUGAGUUACUGUCACUUGUAAGCAACUAAACAUAUUAAAUACAGUUAUAUGUUAUGAGCUUAUCAACGUGGGUUAGGGAAAAUAGUAAUUUCAUGGUGUUUCUUCAUGUUCACUUGAGAGCUUGUCACAUUCCCAUUUCUAGCCACUUUGGCUGAGUAAGAUUUAAUUCAAAACAUUUUUGCUCUUAUUUUCUAAGCAAAUUUAAGAUUCUGUUUACUUAUGUGUGCUCACUGGAGGUCAUGCUGAAAAAUGAGCCUCAGAAUAUGCUGGGGAGACCAUAAAAUAUGAAAUGGUAAUGGUUAAGCUUAUAAUCUAUUAUUCUCUUUACAUGAAAUAGUGUAACCCAGCAUGUUCAUUGAAAUGAAGAUUAUAAACAACUUGCAUAAUGCCAAAAUAAUGCUCUUUCAACCAAGAAUUUAUCACUAGAAUGCUUGUUAUAUGUAAUGUUUGCUUUGGAAUUAGACAUAAAUAUAAGCACAAUAUCAUUUUCAGCUGAUUCUUCAUCUUAAAAGACAUUUAAGAUAAUAGGUGGUUCACAAGAAGGGAAAAUACAUUUUAUGUAGUUUCAUAAGCUCUUUCCUUAAUGUUAAUAUAUUCAUGAAUAUAUGAAAACAACUAGAUACUAUAAACUAUUUAUAUAAUGUCAAAAAUUUUCCACAGAACUAAUAUCUUAUUAUAUUGCUAUCAAGCAUGGGAUUUGAUUAGUUUAGUAUAUUAUUUUCCAUUAAAAAAUCUUAGGGCACCCUAGUAGAUAGCCUUUAAAGCUGCUUAUUCAUAUAUUUAUGAACUAGUGUUUAAAUUAUAUCAUUUCUGCUUCUCAGUGCUAUUACAUUAUACUCAGUUAUAGUCAGUUUUCCUGACUCGAAUAUACAUUUGUGGGAAAGUAAAGAAAUGGGUACACAGCUUUAAUUUUGAUUAGCAAUAGAAAUAUAUAUUCUGUGACCAAAGAGAUAGGAUAAAUUAGACAUUAUCAACUUUCAGAGUCCUGGAUAUUAUACUAUGGUUAAAAGCAUACGUUUUGCUGUCAAACAGACUUGAAGGAUUUGUUUAGAGCACUUCCAACAUAUGGGUCAUGGGCAUAUUAUUUAAGUUCUCUGAGUCAUGGUUUCCACUUAAAGGUAACCCAAAUAAAACCAUGAGGGUAGGGAUUUGGGUGUAUUUUAUUUUAUUUUUCCCUCACCUAAAUGAGUGUCUGGUGUAUAGGUGACACUCAAUCAGUAUCUACUGAAUGAAUAAAUGAAAGAAAGAAAUACUGGUUUAUACAAAUGCUGAGAAAACAAAACAGGAUAAUCAUACACAGCAUAUUAAUAUGAAGAACCUGGUACUGAGUGAGCACUACUAAAUAUCAGCAAUAUAUAAGUGUCCUGAUCUUCCAUCUGGAUUAAGAGUAGUUAAUAUUUCCACACUUGGCUACCAAUUUCUAAAAUAAAUGUUGGUUUGGUGGGAAAAAAAUCCAACACUAUUGGUUGCCAUGUUAAGAAAUAUUGUUAUUAAUUGGCUUAUUUUUCACUUUUCAAUUUUAUAUUCUGGUGUACUCAGCAGGCACCAUUUUAUAAGGAUACCACUAAAUUCAUACUUUGAACCCAUGGCCAUUUAUGCCAAUUGUUAGUUGAGAUUCACCAGGUACAGAUAGCUCAGGAACUACACCAGAAUAGGUUAUUCAAGUCACAUCUGUUAAAAAUGUCACAAACGUAUUGUUGGCAAUGCCUCAUUGUCACUCUGGAAUAACACUGACAUUGUGUUUGUUCAGCUAACAAACAUAAUUACUCUUAGAACAAGAGAGAAAUAAGUUAUGGUUUUGUUUUACAAAGAAACGGCAGUCAAUAUUCAACUAAGAGUUGGUGAAAUCUUUGUGUAGGGGUCAGGAUACUCCCAAUUAGAAUCUCUUCUGUUAUCAUUUCCUUAGUUUUAUGAAUGUUUUCCAUAAUCCCCAAACCAGACAAUUUCAGUGAGAAGGGAAUAGAAGAAUUUAACACAGAAAUGUUUUCAUUUUUUCUUCUUACCCUGACUUUCCAAAGAGAAUACUGUCAUCACUAGCCCACACUUUUCGUCCUCUAUAUUAAAAGGUAAGAAUUUUUUAUUACUGGACUGGAAUAAACUCAAUCUGUAGGCCAAAAGAAUGGAGGAGUAAGAAGAAAACUCUUUCUCAGAAAACUAAAUAUAGGAGUUCCCAUCCUGGCACAGCGGAAACAAAUCUGACUAGGAACUAUGAGGUUGCAGGUUCAAUCCCUGGCCUCACUCAGCUCAGUGAGAUCUGGCAUUGCCAUUAGCUGUGGUGUAGGUUGCAGAUGCAGCUCAGAUCCUGCAUUGCUGUGGCUGUGGUGUAGGCCAGCAGCUGUAGCUCCGAUUUGACCCUAAGCCUGGGAACCUCAAUAUGCCACAUGUGCAUCCCUAAAAAGCAAAAAAGCAAAAAACAAACAAACAAAAAAACCCUUAAAACUAAAGAACUACCAGCAAUACCACUCCUGGGCAUAUAUCUGGACAAAAUUAUAAUUCAAAAAAUUAUAUGUGCCCCUCUGUUCAUCACAGCACUAUUCACAAUAGCUAAGAUGUGGAAACAACCUAAAUGUCCACUGAAAAAGUAAUGGAUUAAGAAAAUGUGGUACAUAUCCAAAAUGGAUUACCACUCAGGCAUAAAAGAUAAGAUAAUGCCAUUUGCGGCAAAUUAGGUAAUUAGAGAUUAUCUAAUUACUAAGUAAAGUCAGUCAGAAAGAGAAGGACAAAUACCAUAUGGAAAUCACUUACGUGUGGAAUCUAAAAUAUGGCACAAAUGAACUUAUCGACAAAAAAAAAAACAGACUCACAGACAUAGAGAACAGACUUGUGGUUGCCGAGAGAAGGGGGAAGGAGUGGGAUAGACUGGGAGUUUGGGGUUAACUGACAUAGAGCGUUAUGUUUAGAAUAAGGUCCUGCCAGGUAUAGCACAGGGAACCAUAUCCAAUUUCCUGGGAUAGACCAUGAUGGAAAAUACUAUUUAAAAAAAGAAUGUAGGAAUUCCCCUCAUGGCUCAGUGCAAGAGAAUCUGACUGGCAUCCAUGAGGAUGCAGAUUCAAUCCCUGGCCUCACUCAGUAGUUAAGGAUCCAGAAUUACCUUGAGCUGUGGUAUAGGUCGCAGACAUGGCUCGGAUCUGGUGUUGCUGUGGCUGUGACAUAGGCCAGCGGAACUUUCAUAUGCCAUGGGUAUGGCCCCCCCCAAAAAAGAAUGUAUAUAUGUAUGACUGAGUCACUUUGCUGUACAGCAGAAAUUGGUACGGCAUUGUAAAUCAACUAUACAUCAAUAAAAAAAGGA